rfam:Asian citrus Psyllid, Diaphorina citri - Florida Strain, whole genome shotgun sequence.
GCCUUGGUGGCGUAGUGGUCAAGACGCUCGCCUGGUAAACAGGAGGGCGUGGGUUCGAUCCCAGCCGAGGCA